AUUGAACGCUGGCGGCAUGCCUUACACAUGCAAGUCGAACGGCAGCACGGGUGCUUGCACCUGGUGGCGAGUGGCGAACGGGUGAGUAAUAUAUCGGAACGUACCUUAUUGUGGGGGAUAACGCAGCGAAAGCUGUGCUAAUACCGCAUAAUCCCUAAGGGGGAAAGCGGGGGACCGUAAGGCCUCGCGCAAUUAGAGCGGCCGAUACCUGAUUAGCUAGUUGGUGAGGUAAAGGCUCACCAAGGCAACGAUCAGUAGCUGGUCUGAGAGGAUGAUAAGCCACACUGGAACUGAGACACGGUCCAGACUCCUUCGGUAGGCAGCAAUGGGGAAUAUUGGACAAUGGGCGCAAGCCUGAUCCAGCCAUACCGCGUGGGUGAAGAAGGCCUUCGGGUUGUAAACUGCUUUUGUACGGAACGAAAAGACUCCUUCUAAUAAAGGGGGUCCAUGACGGUACCGUAAGAAUAAGCACCGGCUAACUACGUGCCAGCCACCGCUGUAACAC
rnacentral:rRNA from 1 species